rnacentral:rRNA from 1 species
CCUACGGGAGGCUGCAGUGGGGAAUAUUGGGCAAUGGGGGAAACCCUGACCCAGCAACGCCGCGUGAAGGAAGAAGGUUUUCGGAUUGUAAACUUCUGUCCUUGGUGAAGAGAAGAAGACGGUAGCCAAGGAGGAAGCCCCGGCUAACUACGUGCCAGCAGCCGCGGUAAUACGUAGGGGGCAAGCGUUGUCCGGAAUGAUUGGGCGUAAAGGGCGCGUAGGCGGCUUUAUAAGUCUGGAGUGAAAGUCCUCUUUUCAAGGGAGGAAUUGCUUUGGAAACUAUAGAGCUUGAGUGCAGGAGAGGUUAUCGGAAUUCCCGGUGUAGCGGUGAAAUGCGUAGAUAUCGGGAGGAACAUCGGUGGCGAAGGCGGGUAACUGGACUGCAACUGACGCUGAGGCGCGAAAGUGUGGGGAGCAAACAGGAUUAGAUACCCUAGUAGUC